rnacentral:rRNA from 1 species
AGCAGUCGCCGCGGGAAUACGAAGGGUGCAAGCGUUAAUCGGAAUUACUGGGCGUAAAGCGCGCGUAGGUGGUUCAUUAAGUUGGAUGUGAAAGCCCUGGGCUCAACCUGGGAACUGCAUCCAAAACUGGUGAGCUAGAGUACGGUAGAGGGUAGUGGAAUUUCCUGUGUAGCGGUGAAAUGCGUAGAUAUAGGAAGGAACACCAGUGGCGAAGGCGACUACCUGGACUGAUACUGACACUGAGGUGCGAAAGCGUGGGGAGCAAACAGGAUUAGAUACCCCCGUAGUCCCUGUCUCUUAUAC